rnacentral:rRNA from 3 species
UACGGAGGGAGCUAGCGUUGUUCGGAAUUACUGGGCGUAAAGCGCACGUAGGCGGCCAUUCAAGUCAGAGGUGAAAGCCCGGGGCUCAACCCCGGAACUGCCUUUGAAACUAGAUGGCUUGAAUCUUGGAGAGGCGAGUGGAAUUCCGAGUGUAGAGGUGAAAUUCGUAGAUAUUCGGAAGAACACCAGUGGCGAAGGCGACUCGCUGGACAAGUAUUGACGCUGAGGUGCGAAAGCGUGGGGAGCAAAC